rnacentral:rRNA from 1 species
CCUACGGGUGGCAGCAGUCGAGAAUCAUUCACAAUGGGGGAAACCCUGAUGGUGCGACGCCGUGUGGGGGAAUGAAGGUCUUCGGAUUGUAAACCCCUGUCAUGUGGGAGCAAAUUAAAAAGAUAGUACCACAAGAGGAAGAGACGGCUAACUCUGUGCCAGCAGCCGCGGUAAUACAGAGGUCUCAAGCGAUGUUCGGAAUCACUGGGCGUAAGGCGUGCGUAGGCUGUUUCGUAAGUCGUGUGUGAAAGGCGCGGGCUCAACCCGCGGACGGCACAUGAUACUGCGAGACUAGAGUAAUGGAGGGGGAACCGGAAUGCUCGGUGUAGCAGUGAAAUGCGUAGAUAUCGAGAGGAACACUCGUGGCGAAGGCGGGUUCCUGGACAUUAACUGACGCUGAGGCACGAAGGCCAGGGGAGCGAAAGGGAUUAGAUACCCGGGUAGUC